AUGUCGCACACUCGUAUGCUCUACUUCCAAGCCCACCAUCCCCAUGCCAACUUUCAGGACAACCAUGCCAGUGUUACGAAGAAAGAAGCAGCAGUAGGAGCGAACCAUGUCCAAGCGCCCAAAAAACAAGUCAGGUUUCAGGACAACCAUGCCAAUCCUAUCAAGAAAGAUGAUGUGAAUACAGAUGUGGAUUCGGUGGCUUCAGACUUCAUCAAGCCUCAAAAGGUUGUGAUCACCACGAAAAGAAUAAGGUACAGCAUGAAACUUAGGUUGUAUUUCAAAUGGAAUGGCAUUUGCAAAGACACAGAAAGUACAGGGGAAAAGGGAGAGAGGAGAAAGGACAGAAAAGUACUGGAGGUGGAUAAGGCACUCCAGAAGAGCACAACCAUGUAUCCAUCUUCUUAA
rnacentral:rRNA from 1 species